CAGAAGUCAGGUCGGAUUAAGCCAUAGUACGGAAAAAACUAUGCUACCUGUGAGCCCCGUCCAAGGACGUUAAAAGAAGUCAGGCCACUACAAGUGCCAUAGCUUGAGUAAACUAUGCAGCCUGUAGCUCCACCUGAG
rnacentral:lncRNA from 1 species